rnacentral:lncRNA from 1 species
GCCGCUAUAUCUAUGUACUGUUAUCUGACAGCUGUCAUCCAACUCAGCUAUAAUUAUCUUCCAGUUGUAUUUCAACUCAUUUAUCACGUAGGCAGCCGUCCCACGAUCUUUGCAUAGCUGGUGAUUCUGUUACAACAACCCAACGACCUAAUAGAUUUCUAACAAUUUAAAGAUCUCCAAUGGCCUAACAGCCUAACAGAUCUCUAACGACCUAACA